GCCUCCAUGGUGGAAUGGUAGACACGAAGGACUUAAAAUCCUUUGAGCAUUGUGCUUGUGUAAGUUCGACUCUCACUGGAGGUA
rnacentral:tRNA from 1 species